GGCCAGACUCCUACGGGAGGCAGCAGUGGAGGAUAUUGCACAAUGGGGGGAACCCUGAUGCAGCGACGCCGCGUGGGUGAAGAAGCGCCUCGGCGCGUAAAGCCCUGUCAGCAGGGAAGAAAAUGACGGUACCUGAAGAAGAAGCCCCGGCUAACUACGUGCCAGCAGCCGCGGUAAUACGUGGGGGGCAAGCGUUAUCCGGAUUUACUGGGUGUAAAGGGGGCGCAGACGGCGAUGCAAGCCAGGAGUGAAAGCCCGGGGCCCAACCCCGGGACUGCUCUUGGAACUGCGUGGCUGGAGUGCAGGAGGGGCAGGCGGAAUUCCUGGUGUAGCGGUGAAAUGCGUAGAUAUCAGGAGGAACACCGGUGGCGAAGGCGGCCUGCUGGACUGCAACUGACGUUGAGGCCCGAAAGCGUGGGGAGCAAACAGGAUUAGAUACCCUUGUAC
rnacentral:rRNA from 1 species